rnacentral:rRNA from 1 species
AUUGAACGCUGGCGGCAUGCUUUACACAUGCAAGUCGAACGGUAACAGGCCGCAAGGUGCUGACGAGUGGCGAACGGGUGAGUAAUGCAUCGGAACGUGCCCAGUCGUGGGGGAUAACUACUCGAAAGGGUAGCUAAUACCGCAUACGAUCUAUGGAUGAAAGCGGGGGACCGUAAGGCCUCGCGCGAUUGGAGCGGCCGAUGUCAGAUUAGGUAGUUGGUGGGGUAAAGGCUCACCAAGCCAACGAUCUGUAGCUGGUCUGAGAGGACGACCAGCCACACUGGGACUGAGACACGGCCCAGACUCCUACGGGAGGCAGCAGUGGGGAAUUUUGGACAAUGGGCGCAAGCCUGAUCCAGCAAUGCCGCGUGCAGGAAGAAGGCCUUCGGGUUGUAAACUGCUUUUGUACGGAACGAAACGGCUCUGGUUAAUACCCGGGGCUAAUGACGGUACCGUAAGAAUAAGCACCGGCUAACUACGUG